rnacentral:lncRNA from 1 species
AAUGGUCUGCUUUCAUGGGGCUUAUUGAAUCCAGGAAAUAACUGUGAGUAGUAGCGAACCAGACAUGAAAAGUUUCAGAGAACUACGAAAACUCUGGUCAGUUUUGUCGGGAUCUUGUGACACAGUUCCAGGACUCUAUUGACUAAGGUAAUGAUAUAUAUGUGUGAUUUAUCCUGUUAAAACUUUUAGUGUUCACUUAGGGGUGAGUGCAACUAGUAACUGAAUUUAGACUACGAACUAGAGUAUGACAGUAAAGUCAGGAGCAUGAUGGAGAACACAUGGGACAUUGAGGACUAAUGGUCAACACUUAAAUCUUGCUUUACAUAUAGUUCAGUUCCAAGUAGUCUGAUACAUAGAUGGCGAGGGGAGUGCUGAUUUGGGGUUGAUUUUGGUAAUUAUAUAUUUUCCUUGAUGACUGUCAUUUUGUUGUCUUACAUGUGCUAUAUGAUAUGCAUAACAACUUGAGAGCACCUUUGCUUCUCUUGAUGUAAUUCCAUUAUAGGGCCGUGCGUUGAACAUGCUUCUUUGAUGAUAAGUAACAGACUUCUUCCUCCAAUGGCUGAAACAAGCUUUGUGAUUUACUCCUCUAAUUCUCUUUUGACAUGCUGAUUAAUUCCUAGCAAUUUUCUAGAGUAAAUCCAUUCCCCUGCCACCUAUAAUGGAAUUUCACAUGUUUUACUUGCAUGAACCAAACAUAUAUGUGCGCUGACUACAGGCCAAAGCCUAAAGAAUUCCUUGAACAUCAAAUACAUAUAGAAUGCACAACACAUAUUAGUACAAUGCCCGUGCGAUAAUUUUCUUGUAAUUUAGAAUGCACAAUACAUAAAGAGUUCCUGUAUAUAUACUCUUACGCUGUGAUAAUUUUCUUGAUAUCUUUUUAAUGCCAGCCUCUUUCAGUUAGUACAAUGAUCAAGGAUCUCAUUUGAGUAUGGGUUUGCACAUCUGAGUGCUGGUGAUCUUCUUCGUGAAGAAGUUAAAGUGAUAUGGAGCAGGUAACAGUCUUCUUUCAGUUUCUGUAAAUAUAUUCUUACGUUGUAAUAAUUGUCUUGAUAUCUUUUUAAUGCCAGCCUCUUUCAGUUAGUACAAUGAUCAAGGAUCUCAUGUAUGAAGGAAAGCUUGUGCCUUUUGAGAUCAUUGUCAUGCUAAUUAGUAAAGAACAUGCUUGUGGUUGGAAACAAUAUGUUUCUGAUUGAUGGAUUUCCGCAAAAUGAAUAACUUCCAAUCAUACGAGAAUAUUUAAGAAUGCUUCUAUGUACAUUCGAUAGUGCCAAUAGCAGAUCAAUCUCUUGUUGUGUGCUUCACACAUGUGCAUUUGUUUAACAGAUUAAAAUUGACCAUGAGUUCGUACUAUUAAUUGAAGGCUCAAGGGAAGAGACAGCGGCAUAUUCUUCGUUGAAAUCAGG